rnacentral:rRNA from 1 species
AGAGUUUGAUCAUGGCUCAGGAUGAAUGCUGGCGGCGUGCCUAACACAUGCAAGUCGAGCGGCAGCGAGGGGUGCUUGCACCCUGUCGGCGAGCGGCGAACGGCUGAGUAACGCGUAGGAAUUUGCCCCAAAGUGAGGAAUAACUGCCCGAAAGGGUAGCUAAUGCCGCAUAUGGUCUUCGGAUUAAAGGAUUUAUCCGCUUUGGGAGAAGCCUGCGUUGGAUUAGGUUGUUGGUAGGGUAAUGGCCUACCAAGCCGACGAUCCAUAGCUGGUCUGAGAGGAUGAUCAGCCAGACUGGAACUGAGACACGGUCCAGACUCCUACGGGAGGCAGCAGUGAGGAAUCUUCCACAAUGGGCGAAAGCCUGAUGGAGCAACGCCGCGUGAAGGAUGAAGGCCUUCGGGUUGUAAACUUCUUUUAUGAGUGAAGAAUAUGACGGUAACUCAUGAAUAAGCACCGGCUAACUACGUGCCAGCAGCCGCGGUCAUACGUAGGGUGCAAGCAUUAUCCGGAGUGACUGGGCGUAAAGAGUUGCGUAGGCGGUUUAAUAAGUGAAUAGUGAAACCUGGUGGCUCAACCAUACAGACUAUUAUUCAAACUGUUAAACUCGAGAAUGGUAGAGGUAACUGGAAUUUCUUGUGUAGGAGUGAAAUCCGUAGAUAUAAGAAGGAACACCAAUGGCGUAGGCAGGUUACUGGGCCAUUUCUGACGCUAAGGCACGGAAGCGUGGGGAGCGAACCGGAUUAGAUACCCCGGUAGUCCAA